AGGUAGUAAAAAAAUUUAAAACCUAUUUAUAACGGCGGCAUUUCAUCUAAUUAGAGGAAUCUGUUAAUUAAUAGAUAAUCCACAAUAAAUUUCACUUAAAUAAUAAAACUUAUAUACCGCCAUCUAAAGAAUUAAAUUUAUAAAUUUAUUCUAAAAAAUUACUAAAAAGUUAGGUCAAGGUGUAGUCUAUCAUUAAGAUUUAAAUGGAUUACAUUAAAUAUAUUUAUAGAUUAAUUAAAGAAAUUUUAUUAUAAAAUAGGAUUUAAAAGUAAUAAAUAAAUAAUAUUUAAUUAUUAAUAAGAUAAUAAAUGUGU
rnacentral:rRNA from 1 species